rnacentral:rRNA from 1 species
GAGUAACACGUAUUCAACCUUCCGAUAACUCGGGGAUAGCCUUUCGAAAGAAAGAUUAAUACUCGAUAGUAUAUUUUCUUCGCAUGUUGAAAAUAUUAAAGAAUUUCGGUUAUCGAUGGGAAUGCGUUCCAUUAGGCAGUUGGCGGGGUAACGGCCCACCAAACCUACGAUGGAUAGGGGUUCUGAGAGGAAGGUCCCCCACAUUGGAACUGAGACACGGUCCAAACUCCUACGGGAGGCAGCAGUGAGGAAUAUUGGUCAAUGGACGCAAGUCUGAACCAGCCAAGUAGCGUGAAGGAUGACUGCCCUAUGGGUUGUAAACUUCUUUUAUAUGGGAAUAAAGUGAUCCACGUGUGGAUUUUUGUAUGUACCAUAUGAAUAAGGAUCGGCUAACUCCGUGCCAGCAGCCGCGGUAAUACGGAGGAUCCAAGCGUUAUCCGGAUUUAUUGGGUUUAAAGGGAGCGUAGGUGGAAGCCUAAGUCAGUUGUGAAAGUUUGCGGCUCAACCGUAAAAUUGCAGUUGAUACUGGGUUUCUUGAGUACAGUAGAGGUGGGCGGAAUUCGUGGUGUAGCGGUGAAAUGCUUAGAUAUCACGAAGAACUCCAAUUGCGAAGGCAGCUGACUAGACUGUUACUGACACUGAUGCUCGAAAGUGUGGGUAUCAAACAGGAUUAGAUACCCUGGUAGUCCACACAGUAAACGAUGAAUACUCGCUGUUUGCGAUAUAC